GCUGCACUUGAACAACCCCACUGCUACACUGUGUAAAAAGAGCAUGAAACCAGAUAAACCACAGGAAUUCUUGUUUUCUCAUUUGUGAUCAAAGAAAAUAACUAAAAGAGUGUCAGAAAAAUCUUCAUGUAAAUUUGGAUUUUCCUCCUUUGGCCUGGUUACUCUCCACUAGUCUGUCAGAUUGCUGUUCAGCAUCCUUUACUCUGGUGAUUCCCUCUGAGUUCAUCAAGUCUUUUCUCCAGUCUGAUAGAGAAAGUACCCUGCUUAAAAGGCUUAUGUGAUUUGCCCCACCAGGAAAAUCCAGAAUAAUCUCUCUCUUUUAAGCGGGAGCAAUUCCUAUGGUGGUCAACAAGUGGGACCAAGAAACACCCCAGGAAGCCAUCCCUAAACCCAUAAGGAAUUCCACAGAUGCUACAUUGUAAUGGACCCAUCAAGUGCCAAGACCAGCAGAACUGACAUCAGUCCUCUGCAGAGACCCCUUGGGAAAGCUGGGGAACCAGAGAUACAAAGCAAUGCCAACCCUCCUCUGGGAGAAACUAGGAGCCACAAAGUCUCCUUCUGAUCCUGUGGCAUUUACCUUGAUUUCUCAAAGGGAUUUUGUCUGCUUAAUUAUUGUCUGUCGGUGUAAGGAUGGCCUGGGGGCUAACUACUUUGUCAUUCUGUUGAUGUUACUGGAUCUAAUUAGCUGUUAUGUAUUUCAAUGCCAACAACUUUGAAUUGGGAUUCAUGUUUAUAAACAUAAACCUGAGGCC